CAUCUAUUUAUUUUUGUGUCAAGAAUUCUAGGAUCACUGCGAUUGAAGUCUCAGAGAAAUAAACGUUCGGAACCUUAUUAUUAUCCUUUGUCAUGAAGAGCGUUCAGAAGAGCGAGUCUUACAAUCCAAUCCUGAGAAAUACCGCACGGUUGCAGUACAGAUUAAGGUAUACACAUAAACCGGUUAAGAGAGACAAGUAAUCAGCAACAUCUCAGGGUCGAAACAGUAUGUUUAUGUGCUUGUCCAUGCUGUUAUAGCUUAAUUUAAAUCAAAAUUAAAAUGGAAUGAAAGUCGUCUUUAUUGUAUUGAUAUAAUCGCCUACCAUUGUAGCUAACCCGUCAAUAUGAAGUUUAACCAUCUCUAUUGUGCGCUGGUUCAAGCUGAUUAAACCACAUACCUCCCUUUUCAAAUAUAUAUAUAAAUAAUAUAUGUAAAAUAUGCAAAAUGGAUAUCGGAUUCUGUGACUGGGAGAUGUGUAAAUAAAUAAAUAUCUUCCACAACCUGUGAAAAGAGGUAUCGGUUCGGAUAAACUAGACAGAAUGCAAAGGUCAAAGAAAUUGAUUUUUUGCCUCAAACAUAAAUUUUCAAAUCCUUACAUCUGUGCAACUUGAUGAUGUAAACUUUCAUCUUUCAAACUUAGCUUAUCUUAUCUAUAAGAAUUCAUACUUGAACUAUUUAAUUACAAUAUUGGGUUGCAAAGAUUAGAAAGGGAUUAGAAAACCAGAGUUUGUGGCAAAAACUAAGUUCCUUUAUACACCAUUACUUGGCUGAAUUUGGGACCCCGUAACUGUUCUAGUUUUGAUUUUACGCACUAGUAUGAGACAAGGAAAUAUAUCUGGCUUCACAUUAAAAA